rnacentral:pre_miRNA from 1 species
GAGGUACUCCCUCCGUUCGGAAUUACUUGUCUCGAAAAUGGAUGUAUCUAGAACUAAAAUACGUCUAGAUACAUCCAUUUUCGCGACAAGUAAUUCGGAACGGAGGGAGUAGUAU